UUAAGCAUAUCAAUAAGCGGAGGAAAAGAAACCAACAGGGAUUGCCCUAGUAACGGCGAGUGAAGCGGCAACAGCUCAAAUUUGAAAUCUGGCUUCGGCCCGAGUUGUAAUUUGCAGAGGAUGUUUAUGGUGCGGUACCUUCCGAGUUCCCUGGAACGGGACGCCACAGAGGGUGAGAGCCCCGUCUGGUUGGAUACCAAACCUGUGUUAAACUCCUUCAACGAGUCGAGUAGUUUGGGAAUGCUGCUCUAAAUGGGAGGUAAAUCUCUUCUAAAGCUAAAUACCGGCCAGAGACCGAUAGCGCACAAGUAGAGUGAUCGAAAGAUGAAAAGCACCUUGAAAAGGGGGUUAAACAGUACGUGAAAUUGUUAAAAGGGAAGCGUUUAUGACCAGACUUGUGUCGUGUGGCUCAUCCGAGGUUCUCCCCGGUGCACUCCACACGGCUCAGGCCAACAUCGGUUUUCGUUGGGGGAUAAGAACAGCAGGAACGUGGCCCUUCUCGGAGGGUGUUAUAGCCUGCUGUACGAUACCCUGAUGGGGACCGAGGACCGCGCUUCGGCUAGGAUGUUGGCGUAAUGGUCAUUAGCGACCCGUCUUGAAACACGGACCAAGGAGUCGUCCAUUAGAGCGAGCGUUUGGGUGUAAAACCCGCACGCGUAAUGAAAGUGAAAUUAGGUGAGAGCUUCGGCGCAUCAUCGACCGAUCCUGAAGUUUACGGAAGGAUUUGAGUAAGAGUUUUAACGGACGGACCCGAAAGACAGUGAACUAUGCUUGAAUAGGGUGAAGCCAGAGGAAACUCUGGUGGAGGCUCGCAGCGGUUCUGACGUGCAAUCGAUCGUCAAAUUUGAGCAUGGGGGCGAAAGACUAAUCGAACUGUCUAGUAGCUGGUUACCGCC
rnacentral:rRNA from 1 species